GUAGCACAAUGGAUAUCGCGUUGGACUUCUGAUACAAAGGGCGUGGGUUCGAUUCCCACUUGCCU